rnacentral:lncRNA from 1 species
UUUGACUCCCAUCUUUUUUCUCGUUGUUAUCGGAUUUAUUUCACUCCUGGGUAUAUGAAGAUGGCCAUCUAUCCUCGCCUUCCCAAUCCAACCAAAGAUUCUCCCUAGUCUAACCUUGCCACCCAAGAUUAUCUCCGAACCUGGCCAUUGAAACCCUACCUUCCGAGUUGGUGGAAGGGAAACCCUAAUCCUUCCAGUUACAAAGGGCCCCCAACUUUCUUCGAUCUUUUGACUCCCA